rnacentral:miRNA from 1 species
GAGGUGGGGAGGAUUGCUUGAGCCCUGGAGGUUGGGGCUGCAGUGAGCCGUGAUUGUACCACUGCACUCCAGCCUGAGUGACAGAGGGAGACCUUGUCUC